AAAACAGAAAAUUCGAGUAGGAACUUAAAAACACGCACCAUAUGUUGGAAUAUAUCUUGUUAAGCCAUUAUUUUUUCGUUUUCGUAUUUGUUCAUGUCUCGAAUUUUUGAUUCGUUGCAUCAUCUUCUGGUUCACAUUUCUUUGAACGCAUGAAGCUGAUGCCGACCAUGACGAGGCAUGAUGAGAGAAGGAGCAAAUUUGAACUGCAUCACAAUGAAUUAUUUCAUGAUGAAACAAUCUUAUGA
rnacentral:ribozyme from 1 species